GCCUUCGUAGUGUAAUGGUUAGCACACUCGGCGCGUAUUCGAGAGGUCCGAGGUUCGAGUCCCGGCGAGGGUA
rnacentral:tRNA from 1 species